UGGUGGUGACAACACUUAGGUUGCAUGUAGUGAGUAAGCUGCCUGCGUAGUCUCUUUGAAGUGCAAGUGGUCAAACUGGUUUGCUUUGCUUCCAAGUGCAAGCAUACGGCUGGGAAAACAAAGAUCAAUGGAGGAUUGAGAAGAUUUAGAUUUAGGAAUUCUUUUAUUUCCUAGUAAUCUUCUAUUACUUUUGUAAAGAGAAUAUACAAUUGUGUAAAGGUUGUACAAUUUCAAUGGAUGUAUGAUGAUUUGUAAUAUUUAGUUCUUGACCAAAUAAUCUUAUUUUACUUACA